UCGAGAAUCUUCGGCAAUGGACGCAAGUCUGACCGAGCGACGCCGCGUGCGGGAUGAAGGUCUUCGGAUUGUAAACCGCUGUCAGAGGGGAUGAAGUGUACGGGGGUACUCCCCUGUACUUGACAGAGCCUCAGAGGAAGCACGGGCUAAGUUCGUGCCAGCAGCCGCGGUAAUACGAACUGUGCGAACGUUAUUCGGAAUCACUGGGCUUAAAGGGUGCGUAGGCGGUUACCUAAGUCAGGUGUGAAAUCUCUCGGCUCAACCGGGAAACUGCGCUUGAAACUGGGUGACUGGAGUGAGGUAGGGGUGUGUGGAACUUCCGGUGGAGCGGUGAAAUGUGUAGAUAUCGGAAGGAACGCCAGCAGCGAAAGCGGCACACUGGACCUUUUCUGACGCUGAGGCACGAAAGCUAGGGGAGUGAACGGGAUUAGAUACCCCUGUAGUCC
rnacentral:rRNA from 1 species